rnacentral:lncRNA from 1 species
GCAGAGUCUAUAGUAGAGCAGGCAUAAUAGCCAGAAGUAGGACAUUAGAGGUAUAACAAUGAAAGGGCUAUUGAGUCCCUGGAUUCUUAUGUCUUCUUCCUGGAUGUCUUGAUGUGAGCAGAUCUUCUUUAUCGCAGGGUCCUCCUGAUACACAGGCUGAAACCAAUAGGCCCAAGGAGCCAUGAAUUGAAAACAUGAGUCGCCCCACAAAUGGAUCAUUUGACCUCAAAGGGGUCACAGCUCACAUACUGAGAACCAGCACUUUAAGGCUUUCUUGAAGUCUUCUAAACAAUACUAGUUUCCAGAACAACCUGAAGUGCAAACAUAUUAAAGGUCUUUUGUUAAAUUUUCUAUCAAUAUUCAUGAGUGUUUCAGGCUUUUUUUCUCUUUCUCACUGUGAUGAAUUGGCGAGAAUGACUGACUCUUCCAAAUCUCAUCACAUGUUGGACAUGGAACUUCUGGCUGCAAUUUAAGAGACAUUUCUAUAACAACUCAAAGGAAAAUGCUGAGCAGUGUCGUCCUUCAUCAUCCUUCGUCAUCCUUCGUCAUCCUUCGUCAUCCUUCGUCGUCCUUCGUCGUCCUUCAUCGUCCUUCGUCGUCCUUCGUCGUCCUUCGUCAUCCUUCGCCGUCCUUCGUCAUCCUUCCUCAUCCUUCGUCAUCCUUUGUCAUCCUUCGUCAUCCUUCGUCCUCAGCCUUUCAUCACAUCCUUGAGCCCAAGUCCAGCUACUCUCAUUUCUCU